GCGGCGACCGGGCUUACACCCGAGGUCCCUCUCUGGGGUGGCUCUUUGCUAAGUGCUGCUGUUGCUUCCCGUGCAGAGAUACAUCCUCUCCUU